GUCACACUGCUUUUGGAAACAGGUGGUGAGGCUGGCGUCGCCAUGUUUUCUAAGGGACUUUCUCAGGAUCAGAUCCAAGAGUGGUCCUUUAGGGCUUUUUUUUUUUUUUUUUGAGACGUUGUCUCGCCCUGUCACCCAGGCUGGAGUGCAGUGGCGCGAUCUCGGCUCAGUGCAACUUCCGUCUCUCGGGUUCAAGCAAUUCUCCUGCCUCAGCCUCCAGGGUAACUGCGAUUACAGGCUCCCGCCACCACGCCAGGCUAAUUUUUGUAUUUUAAGUAGAGACGGGAUUUCACCAUAUUGGCCAGGCUGGUCUUGAACCCCUGACUUCCAGUGAUCCGCCAACCUCAGCCUCCCAAAGGGGCUUUUAAAUGUAAGGGCCGCGCAGGGGCUCCGGGUAGGGCAUGAAAGGUUGGGAGGGGCCCUAGCCAUUGUCUUUUUUGUUAUUGUUAAGGCUGACUUUUUUUAGGCUGUCGCCCAUUCUAGAAUGCAGCGGCGUGAUCUUGGCUCACUGCAGCCUCGACUUCCCUGGCUCAAGUGAUCCUCCCACCUCAGCCUCCCGAGUUGCUGGGACCACAGGUGCCACACCGCGCCCGCUUAAUUUUUUUUUCUUUAUAUAUAUUUUUUUGUAGUGACGGGGUUUCGAACUCCAGGACUCAACGGAGCCUCCCAUCUCAGACUCUGGGUGAGAUUAUAGGCGUUAACCAUGACUCCCUACCCAGUAUAAACUCAAACACACCAGGCGCAGCAGCUCACGCCUGUAAUCCCAGCACUUUGGGAGGUGAAGGCAGGUGGAUCACCUGAAGUCAGGAGUUCGAGACCAGCCUGGCCAACAUGGCGAAAUCCCGUCUCUACUAACAAUAACAAAAAUUAGCUGGGCGUGGUGGCAGGCGCCUGUAAUACCAGAGAUUCAGGAGGCUGAGGCAGGAGAAUCGCUUGAACCCAGGAGGUGGAGGUUGCAGCCAGCCAAGAUCGUGCCAUUGCACUCCAGCUGGGGCAACAAGAGUGAAACUCUGUCUCAAAAAAACAAAAACAAAAGCAAAUAAAAUAUUGCUGGGCGCGGUGGCUCACACCUGUAAUCCCAGCAGUUUGGGAGGCCAAGGCGGGCGGAUCACUUGAGGUCAGGAGUUUGAAACCAGCCUGGCCAACAUGGUAAAAACCUUUUCUCUACUAAAAAUACAAAAAAAUUAGCCCAGCGUGGCAGUGGAUGCCUGUAAUCCCAGCUACUUGGGAGGCUGAGACAGGAGAAUCCCUUGAACUCGGGAGGUGGAGGUUGCAGUGAGCCGAGAUCAUGCCAUUGCACUCCAGCCCGGGCGACAGAGCGAGACUUUGUCUCAAAAAAAAUAAAAAAAUAAAAAAACCAAACAUUUAAAAAAUAAAAAACCAAACGAGGCUGGGCACGGUGGCUCAUGCCUCUAAUCCCAGCACUUUGGGAGGCUCAGGCAGGCAGAUCACUUGAGGCCAGGAGUUGGAGACCAGCCUGGCCAACAUGGUGAAACCCUGUUUCUACUAAAAAUACAAAAAUUAGCUAGGCAUGGUCAUGGGAGCCUCUAAUCCCACAGGCUGAGGCAGAAGAAUCGCUUGAACCUGGGAGGUGGAAGUUGCAGUGAACUGAAAUUGCGCCACUGUACUCCAGCCUAGGCGACAGAGCGAGACUCCAUCUCAAAAAAUAAAACAAAACAAAACAAAACAAAAAUGAAAAAAAAAAAAAAUAGCUGGGCAUGGUGGCGGGCGCCUGUGGUCCUAGCUCCUCAGGUGGCUGAGGCGGGAGGAUCUCUUGAGCCCAGGAGUUUGAGGCUGUAGUGAGCUGUGAUUGCACCAUUGCACCCCAGCCUAGUGACACAGUGAGACCCCAUGUCCAUACACAACAAAAGCAAAAGAGGAAUACAAAAAUAGCUAUAUAUUUUUAGUGUUUGCAUUUAAGAAACUGAUGCUUUUAACACAGUAAUACAUUACAAUAUAAUUAUUAUACUCACAAUAUUGUUACAAGAGAAAAAUAAUACAUAAGGCAAGAUAAUGAGGCCUAGUUCCUAAUGAGGGUUUUCUUUCAAUUCAGUGUCUCUAGGUCCAGAAUACUUGCUUGAGGCUAAAAUAAAGGUUUAAAUUUUAGAGUUUUGGCUGGGUGUGUUGGCUCGGGCCUGUAAUCCUUGCACUUUGGGGAGCCAAGAUAGGAGAAUGGCUGGAGCCCAGGAAUUUGAGGUUACAGAGAGCUAUGAUCAUGCCAUUGCACUUCAGCCUGGGCAACAGAGUGAAACCCUGGCUCUUAAGAAGGAAAAAAAAGUUCGAUAAGUAUCCCCAACUUCCUAGUUGAGGACCUGUCAGAGUUGUUCCCCUCUUCCACCAGGGACUUCCUCUGGGUCUCCUACACCUGCUCUGCCUAAUUUCUUCUCCCUCAGGAUCUAAGAGGUCCAAACCACCUUUUAAAUUUUUUUAAUUUUUUUUGAGACAGAGUCUUGCUCUGUUGCCCAGGCUGGAAUGCAAUGGGGCGAUCUCGGCUCACUGCAACCUCCGCCUCCCAGGUUCAAGCGAUUCUCCUGCGUCAGCCUCCCAAGUAGUUGAGACUAUAGGCUCCUGCCACCACACCUAGCUAAUUUUUGUAUUUUUAGCAGAGACGGGAUUUCACCAUAUUGGCCAGGCUGGUCUCGAACUCCUGACCUUGUGAUCUGCCUGCCUCAGCUUCUCAGAGUGCUGGGAUUAUAGGUGUGAGCUACCAUGCCUGGCCAACCACCUUGUCUCUUGGAUGGGACAAAAAAAGCUGAGAUCUGUGGUAUCCGAAGUUGGGGAUCCCAAGGAGAAGGAAGGUUCCAAAAGAUCCUGUUGAGACAAGAGAACCCUUGUAUGCCUCAAGUCAGACUUCUCAGGGCCUAUCAUUUGCAAAGAUCUCCCACUACAGAAACUGUCUGGGGCAAUUUCAGUACCUUUUCUAGGCAUUUCCAUUCUCUUAGAUUCCAGGUGGCACCAGGCUUCUUCCAGGCUUGAGGAAUAUAACAGUGGGUUUCUAUUUCCUUCUUCUUUUUUGUUUAUUUAUUUGUAUAUCAAUGGGUUUCUAAAAGUAACACAACUGGCCAGGCACGGUGGCUCACGCCUGUAAUCUCAGCACUUUGGGAGGCCGAGAUGGGCAGAUCACCUGAUGUCAGGAGUUCGAGACCAGCCUGACCAACAUGGCGAAACUCCAUCUCUACUAAAAAUACAAAAAGUAGCUGGGCGUGUUGGCAUGCACCUGUAGUCCCAGCUACUCAGGAAGCUGAGACAGGAGAAUCACUUGAAGCUGGGAAGCGGAGGUUGCAGUGAGCCGAGAUCCCACCACUGCACUCCAGCCGGGGCGACAGAGUGAGAUUCUGCCUCUAAAUAAAUAAAUAAAUAAAUAAAUAAAUAAAUAAAUAAAUGUAACACAACUAAAAUCUUUUCUUCACUCACCCCUUUCCCUGUGAAUGAUACAGAGAGAGAGGGCUGCAAAGUACAGGUAGGGAGGAAAGCUAUAUUUUGUUUAGCAUAUAACUGAACUCAGGUCUUGUACCACAUUCUUUUUAAAGAGGGUCCCUUUAAUUAUCACACUUAAUCUUCGUGACAACCCUAAGAGGGAGAAAUUAUUAUCCUUGGAAAUUAAAGCAGAAAGGCUCUCUUGCCAGUGAGGAGCAGAGGUUAAGUUUGCUUUGUAAAUGGG
rnacentral:lncRNA from 1 species